rnacentral:rRNA from 1 species
AAUUUUGGACAAUGGGGGAAACCCUGAUCCAGCCAUCCCGCGUGUGCGAUGAAGGCCUUCGGGUUGUAAAGCACUUUCGGCAGGGGAGAAAACGGUCUGGCCAAUACCCGGAACUGCUGACGGUACCUGCAGAAUAAGCACCGGCUAACUACGUGCCAGCAGCCGCGGUAAUACGUCGGGUGCAAGCGUUAAUCGGAAUUACUGGGCGUAAAGCGUGCGCAGGCGGUUUGGCAAGAAGGAUGUGGAAUCCCAGGGCUUAACCUUGGAACUGCAUUCUUAACUGCCAGGCUAGAGUAUGUCAGAGGGGGGUAGAAUUCCGCGUGUAGCAGUGAAAUGCGUAGAGAUGCGUAGGAAUACCGAUGGCGAAGGCAGCCCCCUGGGAUAAUACUGACGCUCAUGCACGAAAGCGUGGGGAGCAAACAGG